rnacentral:rRNA from 1 species
CCUACGGGGGGCUGCAGUGGGGAAUAUUGGACAAUGGGGGCAACCCUGAUCCAGCCAUGCCGCGUGUGUGAAGAAGGCCCUCGGGUUGUAAAGCACUUUCAGUGAGGAAGAACGCCUGGUGGUUAAUACCCAUCAGGAAAGACAUCACUCACAGAAGAAGCACCGGCUAACUCCGUGCCAGCAGCCGCGGUAAUACGGAGGGUGCGAGCGUUAAUCGGAAUUACUGGGCGUAAAGCGCGCGUAGGUGGCUUGAUAAGCCGGUUGUGAAAGCCCCGGGCUCAACCUGGGAACGGCAUCCGGAACUGUCAAGCUAGAGUGCAGGAGAGGAAGGUAGAAUUCCCGGUGUAGCGGUGAAAUGCGUAGAGAUCGGGAGGAAUACCAGUGGCGAAGGCGGCCUUCUGGACUGACACUGACACUGGGGUGCGAAAGCGUGGGUAGCAAACAGGAUGAGAUACCCCAGUAGUC